ensembl:lncRNA
GAACAAGAGCCUACAUGCCCACUUGUAAGAAUCUGCACCAGUGAAGAUGAACCACUGUCACCACUGCUGAAAUGCACCACCCACCGCCUCACUGUGCUCACAUCCACCGUUUGGUCUCCAUCAACAUUCAGCAAGUGAUGAUGAACGUCAGUGGGCACCAUUUUUAAUUCAUGGAAGAAUUCAGUGACACAUCUUUACUUCGUCUGCACUUCCAUGUCAGAUGCCAUUUUGCCAGACUGCCCCUCUGCUGCCAUCUGUCACACGGCAACAGCAUGUAACAGAAUACUUUCAAAGCAGCCCUUGUACACAUACACACUCUGCAAUAGGGUAAGGGAAUGUGCCAGGCCAGGCAGCAGAUGGGGUGACUUCUGAUACAGGUAUUUCCCCACAGGCUUCACUGUGCCUCUCUGCUUCUCUUGCUGGACUUUCAGAUCUCUCUGGACUUCGUGUCUCAUUUGUAGUAUGAUGGCUCGAAAUGACAUUUUGGUCUUUUAGCUACAUAAAGUGAGAUUUUGUUAAUGAAUGAUUGCAGAAGACUGGGAUUAUAUAAUGAAGAGGAAAAAUAACAUUUGUUUUUGACUGUGUGAUCCUACACAGAUACAUUCAAACUUAAUGCCUAAAUACGUAGGGUUGUUUAUUGGGUUUGUGUUGUUGUUGUUUGUUUGUUUUUUUUAGAUUUCAAACGAAUAGCAAAUAGGUAAAUUAAGAUAGGUUUAAUUAAAGUCCUUGGAACAGAUUGGGUAACAGUCACCAUAAAACUGCUCAUGUUUCCACACAGGACUGAAGCAUAGAAGUGUAACCUUUUUUUUCACUCAAAUUCAGUUUUUUUGAAGGGAAGUCUGAUGUCCUUGAUACUGUCUAUUGCUUAAAUGAUGAGACUACUUUUUUUUCUAUGAAGUGGUAUGAGUCCCACUUGUUUUUUGCUGAGAAAUUACCAUGGUAGCCAUGCUGUGCCUACAAGCAUGACCAGGCCCUGCUGCCAGUCUCAACUGAUGUUGCACUAAAACCCCAAGCAGUAGCUUGACACUACUGGUGAAGAAGAUGCUUAGCUGAAGAACUGCCCCCUUAUGCUGCUUAUCACCCCACUGCCAUGCUCAUGCCAUUGAGACAGAAGGAUGUAUGUGUCUGAAGGCUUCUGUUGCUGCUUGGUGCAGAGCAUCACCUGGGAAAAUGAUGUUGAAGGAAGAAUGUAUUCAGCAGGAAAGAGGACUUGCCCUCUCCUAAUGUCUGUCUCCCUCAGGAAAGAGGACUGCUUCUGCCACGACUGCUUGUUCUCCCUCUCUUGAGCUCCCAUGGCUGUUACUGGGCCUUGCUACUGGGUAUGAAAGCCAGACCUGAAAGCAACAAAAUUCAACUUGCUCCUUUCCCUCCCUUCUUCAAAGACUUUGUGAUUUUGUGAAUAAUGGCAAUUACUAUUUUAAUUAUGGAUACAUCUCUAAAAAAUUAUAAAACAAUAUGACAAUAGAAAAAUAGUGUUGCAGAUAGAAAGUACAGCAGGAUUAAAUGAAAUCUGUCACAU